CUGUGUGACUGUACCAGCUCGUCAAAGCCUGAUCUCAUCAGAUCACAGAAGCUAAGCACAGUUAUGUCUUUUUAGUACUUGGAUGUGAGACUACUGAGAAUGCCAGGUGCCACAGGGG
rnacentral:rRNA from 1 species